rnacentral:rRNA from 1 species
UAACUGGUCUGAGAGGAUGAUCAGUCACACUGGAACUGAGACACGGUCCAGACUCCUACGGGAGGCAGCAGUGGGGAAUAUUGGACAAUGGGCGAAAGCCUGAUCCAGCCAUGCCGCGUGUGUGAAGAAGGUCUUCGGAUUGUAAAGCACUUUAAGUUGGGAAGAAGGGCAGUAAGUUAAUACCUUGCUGUUUUGACGUUACCAACAGAAUAAGCACCGGCUAACUUCGUGCCAGCAGCCGCGGUAAUACGAAGGGUGCAAGCGUUAAUCGGAAUUACUGGGCGUAAAGCGCGCGUAGGUGGUUCAGCAAGUUGGAUGUGAAAUC